UACGGGGGGGGUAAGCGUUGUUCGGAAUUACUGGGCGUAAAGGGCUCGUAGGCGGCCAAUUAAGUCGGACGUGAAAUCCCUCAGCUUAACUGGGGAACUGCGUCCGAUACUGGAUGGCCUGGAUUUGGGAGAGGGAUGCGGAAUUCCAGGUGUAGAGGUGAAAUUCGUAGAUAUUCGGAAGAACACCAGUGGCGAAGGCGACUCACUGGACACGUAUUGACGCUGAGGUGCGAAAGCGUGGGGAGCAAACAGG
rnacentral:rRNA from 1 species